GACGGGGGAUGCAAGUGUUAUCCGGAAUCACUGGGCGUAAAGCGUCUGUAGGUGGUUGCAUAAGUCAACUGUUAAAUCUUGAGGCUUAACCUCAAAAUCGCAGUCGAAACUGUUUGACUAGAGUAUAGUAGGGGUAAAGGGAAUUUCCAGUGGAGCGGUGAAAUGCGUAGAUAUUGGAAAGAACACCGAUGGCGAAGGCACUUUACUGGGCUAUUACUAACACUGAGAAACGAAAGCUAGGGUAGCAAAUGGG
rnacentral:rRNA from 1 species